AAUCCAUGUUGCGGCCACUUUCUAAGGAGCUCCUUGAACCUUUCCCACGUCUCAAAUAGAGACUCAAAUUCCAACUGUAAAAAGGACGAGAUCUCAUUCUUAAGCUU